rnacentral:rRNA from 1 species
CUAAGUGCAUGCGGCGGAUGCCUUGGCGAUCACAGGCGAAGAAAGACGCGGCAGCCUGCGAAAAGCUGCGGGGAGCUGGCAAACGAGCUUUGAUCCGCAGAUAUCUGAAUGGGGGAACCCACACCGCAAGGUGUAUCCGUAGCUCAAUACAUAGGUUACGGAGGCGAACGAGGAGAACUGAAACAUCUAAGUAUCCUCAGGAAAAGAAAUCAACCGAGAUUCCGGCAGUAGCGGCGAGCGAACCCGGAGGAGCCCAGCUUUUGAUAGUACGAACUUUAGCCGAAAGGUCCUGGAAAGGCCUGCUAUAGUGGGUGAUAGCCCCGUAGGCGAAAGAGUUGGUACGGUACUAAGGAAGCGAGAAGUAGAGCGGGACACGUGGAAUCCUGUUCGAAGACGGGGGGACCAUCCUCCAAGGCUAAAUACUCGUGAUCGACCGAUAGUGAACCAGUACCGUGAGGGAAAGGCGAAAAGAACCCCGGGAGGGGAGUGAAAUAGAACCUGAAACCGCAUGCAUACAAACAGUAGGAGCCUCGUCAGAGGUGACUGCGUACCUUUUGCAUAAUGGGUCAGCGACUUACAUUCUGUGGCGAGCUUAACCGAAUAGGGGAGGCGCAGCGAAAGCGAGUUCGAAAUGAGCGUUCAGUCGCAGGGUGUAGACCCGAAACCAGAUGAGCUAUCCAUGGCCAGGUUGAAGGUGUGGUAACACACACUGGAGGACCGAACCGACUAGUGUUGCAAAAUUAGCGGAUGAGCUGUGGAUAGGGGUGAAAGGCCAAACAAAUCUGGAGAUAGCUGGUUCUCCCCGAAAACUAUUGAGGUAGUGCCUCGUGUGUCGCUCCAGGGGGUAGAGCACUGUUUUGGCUAGGGGGACAUGGAGUCUUACCAAACCAAGGCAAACUCCGAAUACCUGGAAGCGUGAGCACGGGAGACAGAGCACCGGGUGCUAACGUCCGGACUCAAAAGGGAAACAACCCAGACCGCCGGCUAAGGUCCCAAAUAACAGCUAAGUGGAAAACGAAGUGGAAAGGCCGUGACAACCAGGAAGUUGGCUUAGAAGCAGCCAUCCUUCAAAGAAAGCGUAAUAGCUCACUGGUCGAGUCCUUCUGCGCGGAAGAUGUAACGGGGCUAAGCUGUUAACCGAAGCCGCGGAUGCGCUGGUUAUCCAGUGCGUGGUAGGGGAGCGUUCUGUAAGUCUGCGAAGGCGGUUCGAGAGGACUGCUGGAGAUAUCAGAAGUGCGAAUGCUGACAUGAGUAACGUUAAAGCAGGUGAAAAGCCUGCUCGCCGUAAGCCCAAGGAUUCCUGCUCUACGUUCAUCGGAGCAGGGUGAGUCGGCUCCUAAGGUCAGGCCGAAAGGCGUAGCCGAUGGGAAUCAGGUUAAUAUUCCUGAACCUGCGUCAGAUGCGAUGGGGGGACGGAGCAUGGAAGAUCAUCCGGGUGUUGGAAGUCCCGGUUGUUUAGCGUAGGAGGUCUGCAGGCAAAUCCGCAGACGCAUCUCCAAGGCAAAGACACGUGCCGCUACGGCGGCGAAGUGAUCGGAAGUGCUUCCAAGAAAAGCCUCUAAGCACCAGUCUGACGCGGACCGUACCGCAAACCGACACUGGUGGGCGAGCUGAAUAUGCUCAGGCGCUUGAGAGAACUCGGGAGAAGGAACUCGGCAAAUUGACACCGUAACUUCGGAAGAAGGUGUGCCGUAGUACCGUGAGAGGAGAGACACCUUGAGCGGGAAACGGUCUCAGAGAAUAGGUGGCUGCGACUGUUUAUUAAAAACACAGCACUCUGCAAAGUCGAAAGACGACGUAUAGGGUGUGAUGCCUGCCCGGUGCUGGAAGAUUAAUUGAUGGGGUGAGAGCCCUUGAUCGAAGUCCCAGUAAACGGCGGCCGUAACUAUAACGGUCCUAAGGUAGCGAAAUUCCUUGUCGGGUAAGUUCCGACCUGCACGAAUGGCAUAACGAUGGCCACACUGUCUCCUCCCGAGACUCAGUGAAGUUGAAAUGUUUGUGAUGAUGCAAUCUACCCGCGGCUAGACGGAAAGACCCCAUGAACCUUUACUGCAGCUUUGCAUUGAACUGUGAACCGAUUUGUGUAGGAUAGGUGGGAGGCAGAGAAGAGGCCACGCCAGUGGCCUUGGAGCCGACCUUGAAAUACCACCCUGAUUUGUUUGCGGUUCUAACCACGGACAGUGAUCCUGUCUUGGGACCGUGCAUGGUAGGCAGUUUGACUGGGGCGGUCUCCUCCUAAAGGGUAACGGAGGAGUACGAAGGUACGCUAGGUACGGUCGGAAAUCGUGCUGAUAGUGCAAUGGCAAAAGCGUGCUUGACUGCGAGAGCAACAACUCGAGCAGAUGCGAAAGCAGGUCAUAGUGAUCCGGUGGCUCUGAAUGGAAGGGCCAUCGCUCAACGGAUAAAAGGUACUCUGGGGAUAACAGGCUGAUACCGCCCAAGAGUUCAUAUCGACGGCGGUGUUUGGCACCUCGAUGUCGGCUCAUCUCAUCCUGGGGCUGUAGUCGGUCCCAAGGGUAUGGCUGUUCGCCAUUUAAAGAGGUACGUGAGCUGGGUUUAAAACGUCGUGAGACAGUUUGGUCCCUAUCUGCCGUGGGCGUUGGAAGAUUGACGGGGGCUGCUCCUAGUACGAGAGGACCGGAGUGGACGCACCUCUGGUGUACCGGUUGUCACGCCAGUGGCAUUGCCGGGUAGCUAAGUGCGGAAGAGAUAACCGCUGAAAGCAUCUAAGCGGGAAACUUGCCUGAAGAUGAGUCUUCCCGGAGGUUGAACCUCCCUCAAGAGUCGUCCGAGACCAGGACGUCGAUAGGUCAGGUGUGUAAGCGCUGUAAGGCGUUGAGCUAACUGAUACUAAUUGCUCGUGAGGCUUGAUC